CCUAUGGAGUGUUAUAGAAAACAGGAGUAGGUUCGCCCAAACUGGACAUUAUGAAGUAGGAA
ncrna:unclassified sequences RAGATH-18 RNA